CCUCAUCAAAUUAGUCACGACGCGAACUUGCUGCGCGGGGAAUUAUUCUACGGUUGACAAUCGUGGCGUUGAGAUGUGUCAUCUCGUCCAACGUUUAUUAAUUGCGUAAUACUUUCAUCGCCAUCUUUUCAUCAUUUAUAUUCACACUACUGUCAACUUUAUUUGACUAAUAUUCUUGGUUGAUUGUGAAACGUCGAAGCAUUAAGGGGACGCCAUGAAUAUCAAAAGGACAUCAGAAUGAUUAACGAUAAAUGCGACAACUUUUUGUGGAGAUAUGGUGAAAUUUCAUUUAUUUUAAUGAAGACAGACAUACUUGUUUUUGCAACUUCAAUUUUUUUCUGUUCCAUGGGAAGAACUCUAUAGUG